CCAAGCACCAACUUAGUCCAGUCUCACCACCAAACAUAGCUUGCUUUAAAAGCAACUAAAUUGAAACAUUUCUUGCACCUAUAUUUUGACACUAGUCUUCAUUUGGGGAUUUAAGAAGUGCAUUGCAGCCCCUAAGUCUAAAAAACCAAGACUUUCAAAUGUUUCCGAAUCUUGGCGCGAAACACCAACUUAGUCCAGUCUCACAACCAAACACAGCGUGGUUCAAAAGCAACUAAAUUGAAAAAUUUCUUGCACCUAUAUUUUGACACUAGUCGUCAUUUGGGGAUUUAAGAAGUGCAUUGCAGCCCCUAAGUCUAAAAAACCAAGACUUUCAAAUGUUUCUGAAUCUUGUCACGAAACACCAACUUAGUCCAGUCUCACAACCAAACACAGCUUGGUUGAAAGGCAACUAAAUUGAAACAUUUCUUGCACCUAUAUUUUGACACUAGUCGUCAUUUGGGGAUUUAAAGAGUGCAAUCCAGUCCCGAAGUGUAAAAAACCAAUGAAAAAAUUUCAAAAUCUUGGUACCAAGCACCAACAUAGUCCAGUCUCACAACCAAACAUAGCUUGCUUGAAAAGCAACUAAAUUUAAACAUUUCUUCCACCUAUAUUUUGACACUAGUCGUCAUUUGGGGAUUUAAGGAGUGCAUUGCAGCCCCUAAGUCUAAAAAACCAAGACUUUCAAUUGUUUCUAAAUCUUGGCACGAAGCACCAACUGAGUCCAGUCUCACAACCAAACAUAGCUCGCUUUAAAAGCAACUAACUUGAAACAUUUCUUGCACCUAUAUUUUGACACUAGUCGUCAUUUGGGAAUUUAAAGAGUGCAAUCCAGUCCCUAAGUCUAAAAUACAAAGACUUGAAAAAAUUUCAAAAUCUUGGUACCAAGCACCAACUUAGUCUAGUCUCACAACCAAACAUAGCUUGCUUGAAAAGCAACUAAAUUUAAACAUUUCUUGCACCUAUAUUUUGACGCUAGUCGUCAUUUGGGGAUUUAAGGAGUGCAUUGCAGCCCCUAAGUCUAAAAAACCAAGACUUUCAAAUGUUUCCGAAUCUUGGCACGAAGCACCAACUUAGUCCAGUCUCACAACCAAACACA
rnacentral:lncRNA from 1 species